GGGGGGGGCUAAAUGCAAGUCGAGCGAGCUUGCCUAGAUGAUUUUAGUGCUUGCACUAAAUGAAACUAGAUACAAGCGAUCGGCGGACGGGUGAGUAACACGUGGGUAACCUGCCCAAGAGACUGGGAUAACACCUGGAAACAGAUGCUAAUACCGGAUAACAACACUAGACGCAUGUCUAGAGUUUGAAAGAUGGUUCUGCUAUCACUCUUGGAUGGACCUGCGGUGCAUUAGCUAGUUGGUAAGGUAACGGCUUACCAAGGCAAUGAUGCAUAGCCGAGUUGAGAGACUGAUCGGCCACAUUGGGACUGAGACACGGCCCAAACUCCUACGGGAGGCAGCAGUAGGGAAUCUUCCACAAUGGACGAAAGUCUGAUGGAGCAACGCCGCGUGAGUGAAGAAGGGUUUCGGCUCGUAAAGCUCUGUUGGUAGUGAAGAAAGAUAGAGGUAGUAACUGGCCUUUAUUUGACGGUAAUUACUUAGAAAGUCACGGCUAACUACGUGCCAGCAGCCGCGGUAAUACGUAGGUGGCAAGCGUUGUCCGGAUUUAUUGGGCGUAAAGCGAGUGCAGGCGGUUCAAUAAGUCUGAUGUGAAAGCCUUCGGCUCAACCGGAGAAUUGCAUCAGAAACUGUUGAACUUGAGUGCAGAAGAGGAGAGUGGAACUCCAUGUGUAGCGGUGGAAUGCGUAGAUAUAUGGAAGAACACCAGUGGCGAAGGCGGCUUACUGGACUGUAACUGACGUUGAGGCU
rnacentral:rRNA from 1 species